rfam:Anopheles melas strain CM1001059_A cont2.28674, whole genome shotgun sequence.
ACUAACAUGCUCUGCAAAGGGAUGGGAUCCGAAGCCCCUUUGAGGGAUAAUAGAGGCUCUCCCAUUCAACUCCUAUUCCGACACGUCCUUGUCGUGCAGAGUGUUAACAUGUGCCAGCCAAGCUACGAUACACGGACUAGUUUGCAACUACUCGGGCGGAUGGUGGCACAUGGCAAAUCGGAAAGGG